AUGUUUAAGACGAUUGCCAAAAUUUGUAAGUUAGUGUGUUCAUUUUUGCUCAUCUUGUUUGGCAUACAGCGCUCAAGUAGCGUUAUGUCCAUAUCAAGGCAAUUGAUAAGCGAGUCAAGCCGAAUGGAUAGGGCCGGGAGCGAGGAGAGGCGGGGCAGUCAGCGACCUGACGCCACCGACAACGCAUUGAACAGCUCGUCAUUAUCCAUUAGUUGCGAAGAGUGGGAGCGCUCCAUGAAAUGGGAGGCUGGCCGGACAUCAGACACUCUGAAUAAAAGUAUCAGGAAAGUAAACAAGACCACAUCCAUGUCCAGCACUGGGAUCCAAAAGCCAAGCUCAAAUCAUGGCAAAAGAGCGAUCCACAAGCUGGACAAGUCCACAUCGAUGUCUGGGAAUGGACUGGAAGGUGCAAUCUUGCGGCCAGUUGCAUAGCUAGGAUGAGUUGUAAGCGAGUGCACCGGUAUCUGUAUCUGUAUCUGUAUUUUUUGGAUCUGCGGCACGUUCUCGUCUUGUAACGGAAAGCUGUGGGUAAGAAAAACCCGCCGUAAAGUUUAUUUGCAAUCCAAAACCCAAACUAACAACAACACGCCAAUGCGCAAACACUAUAGAGGGAGACGAAUCGUACGAGUAAGACUGGAAGAUCGCCGAGACGGACAGACAGACAGACAGACGGAGAGACAGACAAGACCAGUGAUUCACCCACACAGUUCCGAGCGACGUAAGCGACUAUUAAUCGCACGUAAUGAGACGAUGGCAUGCGUAAAUCUCGUGCGCCGCCUCUGUCCGCACGUAACCCAAAGCCAAAAUCCAAUACCACUGCCCUGAACUUGGAUUUUUCGCAUCGGACCGGAUCGCAUUAGUAUUCAAGACCCGCUGCCACUUGUGCUCGUACUCGUCGUAGCCCAUCAAAUUUGAUAGUCGUAAAAACUGGGAACUCCAAAGCGGCCAAUUAACGCUGCUGAUGCUGAUGCUGUUGCAACGGAAAUGGCGGUCACAUGGGCGACAACAAUGCAAAUUAACAAUUAACGCAGGAUAUUUGGUGCAACCGCAAAACAGCGAGAGAAACGAGCGACCCACACGCGUCUCCCAGCUCCCAGCUGCCGACUCCCGAAUCCGGACUCUGUACUCUUGACUCUCGCCAUACUUGUAUAUGUAGCUCUCAACCAAAACUCAACACUCCAAUAUUUCUUGCUUGGCAUUUUGAUGGGUUUUCGAACCCCAUAAAUCAAAAGUCUCCCACAGUGGUAUCAAGUACUUCCACAUGGGUCAACCAAUACAAUUAUUUCAUUUAUUGAAUAUCAUUGUAAUGCAAACAAAUGUUAUGCACACCGACACAACCCACUAAAAAAUACAACUUUAUUUAAUAAGAAUGCCAAAA